rnacentral:snRNA from 1 species
AGCUUUGCGCAAAGAAGCGGUACCAUGGCCAAUGAGGUGAAUCCGAAGCGUGGUUAUUGCUAGUUGAAAACUAUGGAGGCAGUAGAGGCUGUGCCAAUGUG